rnacentral:rRNA from 1 species
GAUGAACGCUGGCGGCGUGCCUAAUACAUGCAAGUCGAGCGAACAGACGAGGCGCUUGCUCCUCUGACGUUAGCGGCGGACGGGUGAGUAACACGUGGAUAACCUACCUAUAAGACUGUGAUAACUUCGGGAAACCGGAGCUCAUACCGGAUAAUAUAUUGAACCGCAUGGUUCAAUAGUGAAAGCCGGUUUUGCUGUCACUUAUAGAUGGAUCCGCGCCGGAUUAGCUAGUUGGUAAGGUAAAGGCUUACCAAGGCAACGAUGCGUAGCCGACCUGAGAGGGUGAUCAGCCACACUGGAACUGAGACACGGUCCAGACUCCUACGGGAGGCAGCAGUAGGGAAUCUUCCGCAAUGGGCGAAAGCCUGACGGAGCAACGCCGCGUGAGGGAUGAAGGUCUUCGGAUCGUAAAACUCUGUUAUUAGGGAAGAACAAAUGUGUAAGUAACUAUGCACGUAUUGACGGUACCUAAUCAGAAAGCCACGGCUAACUACGUG